CCUUUAGAAUCUUCUGUUGAUCCAGGGCCUCUGGGAAAGCCGCGUAUUGAAAACCAGUUGGGUGUAAAAAGCUGCUGCAGUCAGGGCAGAGAUUUGGAUCAAAGUGGUGCCACCUGGGACAUGGCAACCAAGAGCAAGUACUGCUGCAUCAACACAGAGCAGCUCCAAGUGUGGUUUUCACAGACUCUUGCCAGCCUGCGUCCAUCUCUGCUGAAUAUUUGGAGACAGAAAGCAGCUUUACACAGGCAUUGCUCCAAGUCCAGCUGUCCAGAGCCCAGAAAGAGAAGAAAGCCCAUAAAGAAAACGCCCAUCUGUACUAUUUAUUUUAAUCUUCAUUGUGUCAUGGCUUUAAGGAAUGAGAAGUCAGUGCCUUUGCAGAGCUAAGGAGGAGCACUGGUUGGUGAAACAUCUGGAGCCCUGUGCUGCAUCUUGCUGCAGAAAGGUGUGCUGGGACAGUUCACUGAACAUCUGCCUGGGAGCAGCC